UACGAAGGGGGCUAGCGUUGUUCGGAAUUACUGGGCGUAAAGCGCGUGUAGGCGGGGCUUUAAGUCAGGGGUGAAAUGCCAAGGCUCAACCUUGGAACUGCCUUUGAUACUGGAGACCUUGAGUCCGGGAGAGGUGAGUGGAAUUGCGAGUGUAGAGGUGAAAUUCGUAGAUAUUCGCAAGAACACCAGUGGCGAAGGCGGCUCACUGGCCCGGAACUGACGCUGAGAUGCGAAAGCGUGGGGAGCAAACAGG
rnacentral:rRNA from 1 species